GAUGAACGCUAGCUACAGGCUUAACACAUGCAAGUCGAGGGGCAUCAUUAUCGAAGCUUGCUUUGAUAGAUGGCGACCGGCGCACGGGUGAGUAACGCGUGGGCAACCUGCCUCAUACUGGGGGAUAGCAGUUGGAAACGACUGAUAAUACCGCAUAAGCGCACGGUGUCGCAUGACACAGUGUGAAAAACUCCGGUGGUAUGAGAUGGGCCCGCGUCAGAUUAGCUAGUUGGUAAGGUAACGGCUUACCAAGGCGACGAUCUGUAGCCGGACUGAGAGGUCGGACGGCCACAUUGGGACUGAGACACGGCCCAAACUCC
rnacentral:rRNA from 1 species